rnacentral:rRNA from 1 species
AAGUUUUAACAAGGUAUCCGUAGGUGAACCUGCGGAUGGAUCAUUAACGUAGUAAUAACGCAAGUUAUUAUAACAUGUUAACCCUUGUGGUGAAAUAGUUUGUUGUUGUUGUUUGGCGGGAGUGUGUUGGUGUAAUAGUAAUACUACAUUGCGCAACCGCCGACAUCAUUAUAAAACCUUUUUAUUACAUUGUACUAAUGCUAUCUUGUGGUAUGAUCGGGCGCAAGUCUGUGAUAACACCAAGUAAAACAAUAAUAACCAAAUACAACUGCUAGCAACGGAUCACUCGGCUCUCGCGUCGAUGAAGAACGUAGCGAACUGCGAAAAUUAAUGCGACCCGCAACACGUGAGUCAUCGAGUCUUUGAACGCAUAUUGCACCCGACGGGCUCGCUCGUCGGGUCUGCCUGUCUGAGUAUCAGUACGGACCCAAUUUACAUUUUAAAGGCGUUAAACCUAAAGGUGUUAUGUUGGUGCUCGUUGGGUGUUGUUUAUCCUCAAUCGACGGAUGUGAGCGUCCGGUUAAUAACCUUUUCGGUUAUACACCCGGUCACUUGAAAUGCAUCAGUACGAUUACUGUUGAUCGUCAACCCGUUAGCAUUGUUGAUCAUCUUUUGAUGUUCUUUGCUAGUACACGGAGACACCUAACAGCGUACUAAGCGUAAUUAGCCGUAUGUAUUUGCAUACUCACCCAUCUUGAUCUCAGAUCAGGCAGGAUGACCCGCUGAACUUAA